AAUUGAUGAAGCUCUUUAACGCAGCGACAGCAGCGGAAGCCGAUAUGACCCGAAAGUGUGCCUGUCACCUAUUCGUACCGUUUCGUCGAUAUCUGUACUUUUUAAAAGGUUUGGCAAGCGUGUCGUUUACUGUUCGGGUAGAACGAGGACCCGGUAAUUCGUGGACUUCAAAAGCGAACGGUAUCGUGGUCGAUCGUUCUUCAAACGAAUAUUUUUCGGCUGGAAGUCUUCGCAUGGAGCCCAUACAGCUCAGGUGGAGGAUUUCAUUCAAUGGAGUAGUUAAACCACUUUGAGGCUAUGGAGAUCCUGUGCGUCUCCCAGCCAUUUUCAUUUGUUCAAUAUAUAGGGACAACGUUGUUAUUAUUGUAAGGAAUAUGGUCAUUGACUGGACAAAAGCAACACUGCGAUUUUCGUAAGCAUUAUUAUAGCGGAAAUUUCGUCCAUGGCUGCACCGAUCACGAUGGCGACUUUCUGGCAUAUUAAAUGGACACAGCCAGAAUCUAGCCGAAACAGCUAGAUCUGUACCCUCAACGACAGGAAAAGUGCUUUUAGAAGUUAAAGGGAUAGAGCUAUACCUCUAGGGACACCGCGGAAGGUUCGGUGAAGAUCACAGGUUAUACAAAGCGUCAAUCAAACGAGCUAUGAUAUGCUGCAGAGUACGAUCCAGACGAUGUGUAAAGGACAUGAACUUCAGAAUGGCCUAGGUCGCAGUUAGCGGCAUAAGUCCGAGGUUGUUGUCUGCACAUUUUAACUACCCGACACUGCGGCAGCAUUGCCUUGGGUGAAAUCGAUCAUUGGAAUCAACUACGAGCAGAAACUACGUCUCGUCCCUUGAAAUUGACGGAAAUCCUCGCAUACCAUCAUAUGUCCAUUAACUCGCCACGCCGAAGAGGAUGCGCUCGCGUAAAAGGCACGUCCUAUCGUUAACUAACUCUGUUUGUCAAAGUGGGUCUCUCACUGGAGGCGGAGGAAGCAGUUUAGCCGUACUGACAAAUAUCGCCCACAACUAUCCAGUUAUGCUCAGUUUCUCAAGGCGUCUGCGUGACAACGACCGCGUAUCGUCCGUGCAAUGUAAUCAAUGAACUGCUUUUGAUUUCUGUGGAGAAUCUGCAAAAGGGCUUCCUGUACCUUAAGUGAAUAACUUGUUGAUCUACUUCAAGGCGUCAUAAAUAGAGAAACUACAUAGGAGAACGCGAAUAGUCGUCCUAUGGCGGCAGAAGUCCCCAGAGCGCUAAAACAACCUUCCAAAAAAGGGUCGGGUCGGCAAUUGCCGAUUCAGAUACGUACAUCGUCAGCAUAAGUGUAAAUGGCCUGUUGAAGAUCAAAUCUAUUAACCUGGACACCAAGAGACUUUAUUAAAAGGGUUGACUCAAACGAAGUUGAGCAAACUUACCAAAGCAAGCUGUUCUUUGCAAGCGAUCUCCGGCUUAAGUCGAAAACUAGUGUGUGUCAAAAACUAAAGAAACCUGACUUCUAUAAAUUGAAAAACAAAGAAACUUUUCUCGACUGUGUAAAUUACAUGGAAUUGGAGAUACUACUAAAGACGACAUAAUAUCAUUCUCUAUGUCGGGACGGUUCGUCGACGACAAAUAUAGUAAUCAAAAGCAACGAUGAUAAAAGGAAAUACGUGUGCAAGCGCGCGCCGUUAAAAUAUGGCAGACUGCCGGUGCACUCGAAAGUUCCGAUCGCGUUGCGAAUGGGCAUUGCUCUCACGUUUCUGAUUGUGCUACAGUAAAGGAACUGCUUGUCGAAGCUCUCCGGCACCCGGAAGUAAUGGCGAUCACGGGCGACGUACACGUAGAGGCAAUCACGUACGGUUCAGUGAACAAUGUGGCCCUUUUUGCCAUAUUGGCACAUAUCGAAGUAAAUUGGUAAUAUGGUGAUGUAGGCUGACUAAUUGACUGGACUGGUUAGACACGGUCGAGCGUUGCCGGGCUACGGGACCGACCGAAAGGUAUAUGACUUCCUUGGUAGUGUCGUGCAAGAGUGAGGCACUCUAAACCCGAAAGUGGGUCGGAGACUGAAAGCCUUCAACUGAAUCGAAUUUGACCCAUACAUCAAUAAAUAUAUGCACAAGUAUACACUGCCUUUCUUUAUCAGGACUAAAAUGGGUAAUCGACUACCAAUUUUGUUAAGGAUUUUCGCCGUUCUUCUAACUGGAAAAGUAUAAUAAAUGCUGAUUGAUUGAUAAUUAUUAGACCACACAGAUAUCAAAUGUACGUUAUUUAUGGCAUCCGACAUAUUGGAACGAGAGAUCGUACCUGUGAUGACGAAGUAAAUCUGUAUCUAAGUUAGCCUGUGUCCACUAUACUGAACAAAUCGUGUUUUUUUUUCCGAUUUUGGUGUCCUUGUGGCACCUUGUAACGACAUCGUUGGCGUCGGAGUAUCACAGUCGAUGCGUCGAAUCUACUACUGGAACAUGGAAAAUAGUAUGUACAGAAAUUAUAGGGCUCGUAAAGAGGUUGAUGAGGCUGUGAUCCAUUUUCAUCCGGGAAUCGCUCUUCGUGGGAGAGGUGCCGCAGUUGCACGCGAAUAUGGUCUCCCCUCGGUCACGGCGCGACACGUAUCUUCCAUUCAGGAGAAAAGGUAUCGCUUGACGGCGAUGACCAUUCACGGCGGAAAAAACGGUGUUUAAUCUAGCCCACUAGUUCUAGCGUAAGAGGGUUCUGGAAAGAAAGACAGUACCUGAGAACAGUCCGAACUCAACUUCAAUAACGAUAGUUGAUGAAAAAGUCAAAUGACUCAUAGACGAUAUAUAAUUAAUCAUUUUGAAUCUAAUCAUGUUGAUAACCGUGCGUGAGAGGCUAAUUAUAGUUCGUCCUUCACUCGUCAUUUGUUCUUCACUAGUGCCGUGCUAGAAGAAUAAAAAAAACAAAAAAAAAAAAGACAAAAAAAUAAAAUUACCUUCAUUAAAUCUAAUUCUUUACGAUUUACGUAAAACGAAACAAUUUUCGCACAGAUUUGUUUAGUAGAGAUAACUAGCUACCCUAAGGUUGGGCUUGAAUUUUAAGAACCUAACUAGAAGCAGCUUCUACGAAUCACACCAAAGAGUCUUACUUUGACAGUUAUUUUCACAAAUUUCCCUGGACGAAAGAUGAACAAAUAUAUUUCAGCUUUAAUCCGUAUCAACGACUCCGUCUAACCUCUCUACCAUAUCUAAAUAGUUUUUUUUUUUCUCCAUCCAAUCGUUUACGGAUGUGUGUUUUCGACAUUGAUUUAUUUGUGUAUUUAGUUGUAAUGACACUUCUACAUGGGUUUACAAUUGGAAAAGGAAGCGGUUCUUGUAGGUAAGUUGUUUAACUUUAAUGGAUCAUUUCAAGCACAAGGUUCGUUAUACCUGA